rnacentral:rRNA from 1 species
UUGGAGGGCAAGUCUGGUGCCAGCAGCCGCGGUAAUUCCAGCUCCAAUAGCGUAUAUUAAAGUUGUUGCAGUUAAAAGCUCGUAGUUGAAUUUCGGGGUUCUACCGUUGGUCGGGCAAUAGUCUGUACUGGCGUGUAGAAUUUCUACCUUCUGGGGAACUAUCAUGUUAUUUAUUUAGCGUGGUAGGAAACCAGGACCUUUACCUUGAAAAAAUUAGAGUGUUCAAAGCAGGCUUACGUCUGAAUACAUUGGCAUGGAAUAAUAAAAUAGGACGGUGGUCCUGUUUUGUUGGUUUCUGAAUCACCGUAAUGAUUAAUAGGGAUAGUUGGGGGCAUUAGUAUUCAAUUGUCAGAGGUGAAAUUCUUGGAUUUAUUGAAGACUAACUUCUGCGAAAGCAUUUGCCAAGGAUGUUUUCAUUAAUCAAGAACGAAAGUUAGGGGAUCGAAGACGAUCAGAUACCGUCGUAGUCUUAACCAUAAACUAUGCCGACUAGGGAUCGGACGAUGUUAAUUUUUCUUGACUCGUUCGGCACCUUACGGGAAAC